CCAGGCCCAGGCAAUGGCUUCCAAAAAUAGCUAGCGAGCAAGCUGCAAGUUUCCUUGUACAAUGAAGAACAUGGAGCAUCACAUUUACUGAUUUCAUCACUUAAAUUUGCAGAUUUUUACUUUUUUCAUUGAAAUUGACAAUUUAUUUUCACAAGCAAUCAUCUGAGAUAAAGUCUAAUUUUGUUUCUACUAUCAAUUUCUCGUACACCGCAGCCCAAUUUCACUCAGUCAUAAUAAGCUAAUAUUUUCUUCCAAUUUAAAUAAAAUUAAUUCAAUACUUGCAUUACAAUUCAAAUUUGAUCAAAAAACAAUAAAAACUGCUAUUAAAUUGUUAUUUGAGCUCUUGAAAAUUGAGAAAAUCAACAUAAACUAUUCUGAUCUGCUAACCUCACAAUUGUAAUUUUUGGCUAUGCGGUGAUUAAUUAAAGAAAUGAAAAUAUUUUAAAAUAUGAUGAAGAAAAUGAACAAGAAGAAACUGGAGGAGAUGGAAAAGAAGAAACUGAAGAGGAUACAUGAAGAAAAUUUGAAGAAGAUCUAUUGAUGAACAUUGGUAUGAUAGAAGAAAUUGUCCAAUAUGGAGACACAGGACGUAAAUAGAUUGAAAACACAUCCGUCUGCACCACAUAAUCUGUGGUUUCUACUGCUACAAUUGACUCUCCGUGCUCUGUGACCAUUGGAUUUCAAAACUGUACCACUCUCGGCUCGGUUGAGAAAGGGAACACAGUUCCCGAAAAUUUCCGUUUCUAAUAACUAUGAUCCGUUUCGAAUGUACACACUUUUUCAAUGAACUUCAUCCACUUCGGCAUAGCUUCAUGGUAUCACCGUUGGUCAGGGUGACUUCUAGAGGCCAGCUCCACUAAGAAUUAUGAACUUCACUUCCCGGAGGUCUGGAUUCUACCUAAAUCUAAAGGUCUACCUCCUCUGGAGGGAAAACAUGCAAGGAGAUGGUGAAGAACAUUCUUCGGAGACUCGUGACAGACAAUGUUGGAAUGCUCUUCAGCUGGUUGGGAGGAAAGGGAAAACGUUGCUUUCCAAUUCGCCACUGGUGGAGGUAAUCUACGAACUACGCCUCAAAUUCCGAUAAAUGUCAGUGCUGCUCAAAAGUUUGACUGAAAGUGACUUAAGAAAUAUGGGAAGAAAUCCAUGACACCCGUCAAUUAAACUGCUGGUUCCAUUGAAUGGUUCUGUAAUUUAUUUAAAAUAGUCUAUCAUUUCCUAGACACUAGGGCCUACCUAUUUUAAAUUGGAUCGAAUUAGUAACCACUGAAGCGUCACAUAAAUUUAAACGUUUUUGUCACUAAGAAGUCAAACAGGUUCUAGAAUUAUGUAGAUUGAUAUAGUUGAAAGUCAUUUAUAUCAGAAAAUUUUGAUAACAUUUUCAAAUAAAUUAAUGAGAUUCACUCACCAUUCAUUGAAGCUCAAUGAUUCCUUGAUUCAAUGGAAAUUACAUAGCCUUCAACUUUAAUGUGUUAUUAUAAAAAUAAAUACGAAUAUUCA
rnacentral:misc_RNA from 1 species